GUUCCGAUGGCCUAGUGGUUAGAGCGUCCGCCUCGGAUGCGGGAAGUCAUGGGUUCGAUCCACGACCGAAUCA